rnacentral:misc_RNA from 1 species
UGUGGGAGCGAGCUUGCUCGCGAUGGCGUCGGCUCAGCAGUAUUGAUGGUGACUGACACACUGCUAUCGCGAGCAAGCUCGCUCCCACA